rnacentral:rRNA from 1 species
GACGAACGCUGGCGGCGUGCCUAACACAUGCAAGUCGAGCGAGAAUCUUGCGAAUGAAACCUUCGGGUCGAUUUUGCAAGAGGAAAGCGGCGGACGGGUGAGUAACGCGUGAGUAACCUGCCUUAUGGAGGGGGACAACAGUUGGAAACGACUGCUAAUACCGCAUGACAUGUUUUGUCGCAUGACAUAAACAUCAAAGAUUUAUCGCCAUAAGAUGGACUCGCGUCUGAUUAGAUAGUUGGUGAGGUAACGGCUCACCAAGUCGACGAUCAGUAGCCGAACUGAGAGGUUGAUCGGCACAUUGGGACUGAGACAGGCCCAGAUCCUACGGGAGGCAGCAUGGGGGA